AGAGUUUGAUCAUGGCUCAGGAUGAACGCUAGCUACAGGCUUAACACAUGCAAGUCGAGGGGAAACGACAUCGAAAGCUUGCUUUUGAUGGGCGUCGACCGGCGCACGGGUGAGUAACGCGUAUCCAACCUGCCCACCACUUGGGGAUAACCUUGCGAAAGUAAGACUAAUACCCAAUGAUAUCUCUAGAAGACAUCUGAAAGAGAUUAAAGAUUUAUCGGUGAUGGAUGGGGAUGCGUCUGAUUAGCUUGUUGGCGGGGUAACGGCCCACCAAGGCAACGAUCAGUAGGGGUUCUGAGAGGAAGGUCCCCCACAUUGGAACUGAGACACGGUCCAAACUCCUACGGGAGGCAGCAGUGAGGAAUAUUGGUCAAUGGGCGAGAGCCUGAACCAGCCAAGUAGCGUGCAGGAAGACGGCCCUAUGGGUUGUAAACUGCUUUUAUAAGGGAAUAAAGUGAGUCUCGUGAGACUUUUUGCAUGUACCUUAUGAAUAAGGACCGGCUAAUUCCGUGCCAGCAGCCGCGGUAAUACGGAAGGUCCGGGCGUUAUCCGGAUUUAUUGGGUUUAAAGGGAGCGUAGGCCGGAGAUUAAGCGUGUUGUGAAAUGUAGACGCUCAACGUCUGCACUGCAGCGCGAACUGGUUUCCUUGAGUACGCACAAAGUGGGCGGAAUCCGUGGUGUAGCGGUGAAAUGCUUAGAUAUCACGAAGAACUCCGAUUGCGAAGGCAGCUCACUGGAGCGCAACUGACGCUGAAGCUCGAAAGUGCGGGUAUCGAACAGGAUUAGAUACCCUGGUAGUCCGCACGGUAAACGAUGGAUGCCCGCUGUUGGUCUGAACAGGUCAGCGGCCAAGCGAAAGCAUUAAGCAUCCCACCUGGGGAGUACGCCGGCAACGGUGAAACUCAAAGGAAUUGACGGGGGCCCGCACAAGCGGAGGAACAUGUGGUUUAAUUCGAUGAUACGCGAGGAACCUUACCCGGGCUUGAAUUGCAGAGGAAGGAUUUGGAGACAAUGACGCCCUUCGGGGUCUCUGUGAAGGUGCUGCAUGGUUGUCGUCAGCUCGUGCCGUGAGGUGUCGGCUUAAGUGCCAUAACGAGCGCAACCCCUCUCCUUAGUUGCCAUCAGGUUAAGCUGGGCACUCUGGGGACACUGCCACCGUAAGGUGUGAGGAAGGUGGGGAUGACGUCAAAUCAGCACGGCCCU
rnacentral:rRNA from 1 species